UACGUAGGGCGCGAGCGUUGUCCGGAAUUAUUGGGCGUAAAGAGCUCGUAGGCGGCUUGUCACGUCGGGUGUGAAAGCCCGGGGCUUAACCCCGGGUCUGCAUUCGAUACGGGCAGGCUAGAGUUCGGUAGGAGAGAUCGGAAUUCCUGGUGUAGCGGUGAAAUGCGCAGAUAUCAGGAGGAACACCGGUGGCGAAGGCGGAUCUCUGGGCCGAUACUGACGCUGAGGAGCGAAAGCGUGGGGAGCGAACAGG
rnacentral:rRNA from 1 species